rnacentral:rRNA from 1 species
UCAGGACGAACGCUGGCGGCGUGCCUAAUACAUGCAAGUCGAGCGGACCUUUGGGAGCUUGCUCCCAAAGGUUAGCGGCGGACGGGUGAGUAACACGUGGGCAACCUGCCUAUGAGACUGGGAUAACUCCGGGAAACCGGGGCUAAUACCGGAUAAUCCUUUUCUACACAUGUAGAAAAGCUGAAAGAUGAUUUCGGCUAUCACUCAUAGAUGGGCCCGCGGCGCAUUAGCUAGUUGGUGAGGUAACGGCUCACCAAGGCGACGAUGCGUAGCCGACCUGAGAGGGUGAUCGGCCACACUGGGACUGAGACACGGCCCAGACUCCUACGGGAGGCAGCAGUAGGGAAUCUUCCGCAAUGGACGAAAGUCUGACGGAGCAACGCCGCGUGAGUGAUGAAGGUUUUCGGAUCGUAAAACUCUGUUGCUAGGGAA